CGGGGUGAGUAAUGUCUGGGAAACUGCCCGAUGGAGGGGGAUAACUACUGGAAACGGUAGCUAAUACCGCAUAACGUCGCAAGACCAAAGAGGGGGACCUUCGGGCCUCUUGCCAUCGGAUGUGCCCAGAUGGGAUUAGCUAGUAGGUGGGGUAAUGGCUCACCUAGGCGACGAUCCCUAGCUGGUCUGAGAGGAUGACCAGCCACGCUGGAACUGAGACACGGUCCAG
rnacentral:rRNA from 1 species